rnacentral:tRNA from 1 species
CGCGGGGUAGAGCAGUCUGGUAGCUCGUCGGGCUCAUAACCCGAAGGUCGUAAGUUCAAAUCUUACCCCCGCCACCA